AUUGAACGCUGGCGGCAUGCUUUACACAUGCAAGUCGAACGGCAGCGCGGGCUUCGGCCUGACGGCGAGUGGCGAACGGGUGAGUAAUGCAUCGGAACGUGCCCAGUAGUGGGGGAUAGCCCGGCGAAAGCCGGAUUAAUACCGCAUACGACCUGAGGGUGAAAGCGGGGGACCGAAAGGCCUCGCGCUAUUGGAGCGGCCGAUGUCGGAUUAGCUAGUUGGUGGGGCAAAGGCUUACCAAGGCGACGAUCCGUAGCUGGUCUGAGAGGACGACCAGCCACACUGGGACUGAGACACGGCCCAGACUCCUACGGGAGGCAGCAGUGGGGAAUUUUGGACAAUGGGGGCAACCCUGAUCCAGCCAUGCCGCGUGCGGGAAGAAGGCCUUCGGGUUGUAAACCGCUUUUGUUCGGGAAGAAAUCCUCUGGGCUAAUACCCCGGGGGGAUGACGGUACCGGAAGAAUAAGCACCGGCUAACUACGUG
rnacentral:rRNA from 1 species